CGCCAUUGGCUGAACCGCUCCGAAAGACUGCCUCUGAUUGGCUGCAGCUCGGGUGCGGUUCCUUACGGGAAGAAGCCGUGAUGACCAGAUCCGAAGAACUUAGAGCUGACAGGUGUCUGCACCCCGCUGUCUUCCCGGACCUCCGGGCUCCGCAGCAGAGAGCUGUGUGAUAGCAGUGCUCCAAUAAGACUGGGUCUAGGCCCACAGAAGCAAAUGAACUACUGAAGGAGUGAACUGGAGCAUGAGCCUGAAGCAUGUGUGAAGGAGACAGCCGGAAGAUGCUUGAGGUGAUCUGAAGGACACAGGGCCUGCUCUCCAAUGGAUGGUGCUGCACAG